GUUUUCUCGAAUUGACGUCUGAAAUUGUAUUCAUUUCCAAAAGUUUGAAACGGAUUAUGGAGUUCAGAAGCACUUGUUUGGCUUAGAAUUUGGCCCAUUUGCAUCAGCGGUAGAAGAUUUUAUUAUUUGAAACACCCGGAUGAAAAAGAAAUUAUGUGUUCCGGCUUUCAAAAAACGGAGUGGCUUAAACCAAUCGGUUUGGGAAUAAAACUCAAGAAGAUAAGUGUCCAGUGAUCGUUUCUACAUGAGUUCUGAACCCGAAUAUUCAUG